AUUGAACGCUGGCGGCAGGCUUAACACAUGCAAGUCGAGCGGGGUGAUGGUGCUUGCACUAUCACUUAGCGGCGGACGGGUGAGUAAUGCUUAGGAAUCUGCCUAUUAGUGGGGGACAACAUCUCGAAAGGGAUGCUAAUACCGCAUACGUCCUACGGGAGAAAGCAGGGGAUCACUUGUGACCUUGCGCUAAUAGAUGAGCCUAAGUCGGAUUAGCUAGUUGGUGGGGUAAAGGCCUACCAAGGCGACGGUCUGUAGCGGGUCUGAGAGGAUGGUCCGCCACACUGGGACUGAGACACGGCCCAGCCUCCCACGGGAGGCAGCAGGGGGGAAUAUUGGACAGUGGGGGGAACCCUGAUCCAGCCAUGCCGCUUGUGUGAAGAAGGCCUUAUGGUUGUAACGCACUUUAAGCGAGGAGGAGGCUCAUUUGGUUAAUACCCGAGAGGAGUGGACGUUACUCGCAGAAUAAGCACCGGCUAACUCUGUGCCAGCCGCCGCGGUAA
rnacentral:rRNA from 1 species